rnacentral:rRNA from 1 species
AGUAACACGUGGAUAACCUACCUAUAAGACUGGGAUAACUUCGGGAAACCGGAGCUAAUACCGGAUAAUAUUUUGAACCGCAUGGUUCAAAAGUGAAAGACGGUCUUGCUGUCACUUAUAGAUGGAUCCGCGCUGCAUUAGCCAGUUGGUAAGGUAACGGCUUACCAAGGCAACGAUGCAUAGCCGACCUGAGAGGGUGAUCGGCCACACUGGAACUGAGACACGGUCCAG